rnacentral:lncRNA from 1 species
AAAAAGAGGGAUUAAAGCGAAGACUACAGUCUAAAUUAUCUGUACUUCAUCGCGUUUCGGUGUCUACCAUCUUGAAGGAUAUGAUCGGUCCAAUCACUCUUCUCAGAAAGCAAAGAAUUUGGGGGAAAUUAAAGAUCUAUGAGUCAUAACAGAAUUGGAAAAUAGUGGAAUGCCGUAUUCACAUUGCCAAUAGGAUAGUUUAUUUUCUCUUUUGGCGCAAUUACCUCUUCC